GACGAACGCUGGCGGCGUGCCUAAUACAUGCAAGUCGAGCGAAGUUUUUCUGGUGCUUGCACUAGAAAAACUUAGCGGCGAACGGGUGAGUAACACGUAAAGAACCUGCCUCAUAGACUGGGACAACUAUUGGAAACGAUAGCUAAUACCGGAUAACAGUAUUUCUCGCAUGAGAGAUAUUUAAAAGUUGGUUAUGCUAACACUAUGAGAUGGCUUUGCGGUGCAUUAGCUAGUUGGUGGGGUAAAGGCCUACCAAGGCGACGAUGCAUAGCCGACCUGAGAGGGUGAUCGGCCACACUGGGACUGAGACACGGCCCAGACUCCUACGGGAGGCAGCAGUAGGGAAUCUUCCGCAAUGGGCGAAAGCCUGACGGAGCAACGCCGCGUGAGUGAAGAAGGAUUUCGGUUCGUAAAGCUCUGUUGUUAGGGAAGAAUGGAUAUGUAGUAACUAUACAUGUAAGAGACGGUACCUAACCAGAAAGCCACGGCUAACUACGUGCCAGCAGCCGCGGUAAUACGUAGGUGGCAAGCGUUGUCCGGAAUUAUUGGGCGUAAAGCGCGCGCAGGUGGUUUAAUAAGUCUGAUGUGAAAGCCCACGGCUCAACCGUGGAGGGUCAUUGGAAACUGUUAAACUUGAGUGCAGGAGAGAAAAGUGGAAUUCCUAGUGUAGCGGUGAAAUGCGUAGAGAUUAGGAGGAACACCAGCGGCGAAGGCGGCUUUUUGGCCUGUAACUGACACUGAGGCGCGAAAGCGUGGGGAGCAAACAGG
rnacentral:rRNA from 1 species